ACUUGGUGAUGUGGGCAUUUGUGUAGGAGGUCCCUAAAGUGCUCCCAAGUUUUGAAAAAUUGUUCCCCAUCAAAUUGUGAGAAACUAGUGAUGUGCUUCCUCAAGU